AUUUGACCUGAUGAGCUAUAUGAAAUUUUCUCUUUUCUGGUAUAUAGAGACACUUUUGAAUUGGGAUGGGUUUGGCUUAGUUUUUAAUUCUUGUGAUUUUUUAUUUUUUUUUUGGCUUAAUCUGUAAUGGGUUAUGUGAUUCUUUCCUGUUUCUGGUAUAAACUUUGAUAAUUUCUCUCGUGUGGUUUAAUCUGACAUGAGUUCAUGGGUCAUGUUCAUGUAGAUGGAGGAUGACGAAGAAGAGGAACAGUAAUCAUUCUCUAAACUAUGUGGCUAAUGCUUUUCAGUUAGGGGGUUUUUAAUAUGGUGCUGGGAAAGCACAGGGACAUAAAGCCUCUUUUGUUGAAAUUUGGGGUGGCCUUUGCCCUCUCUUUUGCUGGAUUUCUCUUUUCUCGUCUCUUUUACUGGUACAAGUCUAUUUUUUUGCAGCUCCCUUAACUGAUACAAGGGAAUCUGUUUGGUAUUUAAAAUCUAAUUUGGUAUUUUACUUAUAUUUUUUGUCAUGGGUUGUAAAAUAUAAUUUGGUGCUUUGGUUUUUUUGUCAUGGGAUGUAACUUGUAAGAAACAACUAAUUUGAUAGUUGGAUGAUGCAUGUGC
rnacentral:lncRNA from 1 species